UACAGAGGGGGCAAGCGUUGUCCGGAAUCAUUGGGCGUAAAGCGCGUGUAGGCGGCCCGGUAAGUCCGCUGUGAAAGUCCAGGGCUCAACCCUGGGAUGCCGGUGGAUACUGUCGGGCUCGAGUCCGGAAGAGGCGAGUGGAAUUCCUGGUGUAGCGGUGAAAUGCGCAGAUAUCAGGAGGAACACCAAUGGCGAAGGCAGCUCGCUGGGACGUGACUGACGCUGAGACGCGAAAGCGUGGGGAGCAAACAGG
rnacentral:rRNA from 1 species